GAUCUAGUUAUCAUCAUAACUAGCUCAUUUUAUAGACCUAAUAAUUUAAAAAAUUUGGUUAACAUAAUUUAUCAGAUUAAAUAAAUAAAUCAACUAAUCUCAAUCCUCCCACUGACUUCACCAAGUCAGAUUAAGAUAAACUAAAAACAAGCCAGUCCAACAGACAAGUCAUCAAUCCUCCCAUUUACUUCAUCAAGUCACG
rnacentral:lncRNA from 1 species